rnacentral:rRNA from 1 species
GUUAAAAAGCUCGUAGUUGGAUCUCGGCGGGCAGGGGGUGGUUCGCUCUUCAGCGCUACUGCCCCGCUUUGCCCGUGUGAUUGGCGGAGGUUUCGGGGUGCUCUUCGUUGAGUGACUCGGAGCGCCGUCAGGUUUACUUUGAAAAAAUUAGAGUGCUCAAAGCAGGCUUUUCACGCUUGAAUAUUCGUGCAUGGAAUAAUGGAAUAGGAACUCGUUUCUAUUUUGUUGGUUUUCGGAAAUCGAGUUAAUGAUUAACAGGGACAAUUGGGGGCAUUAGUAUUCAGACGACAGAGGUGAAAUUCUUGGACCGUCUGAAGACUGACUACUGCGAAAGCAUUUGCCAAGAGUGUUUUCAUUAAUCAAGAACGAAAGUUAGAGGUUCGAAGGCGAUCAGAUACCGCCCUAGUUCUAACCAUAGGCGAUGCCAGCUAGCGAUCUGCCGAGUUUUUUUUGUAGGCUCCGCAGGAAGCUUUCGGGAAACCAAAGCUUUUGGGUUCCGGGGGAAGUAUGGUUGCAAAGCUGAAACUUAAAGGAAUUGACGGAAGGGCACCACCAGGAGUGGAGCCUGCGGCUUAAUUUGACUCAACACGGGAAAUCUCACCAGGCCCGGACACUGGAAGGAUUGACAGAUUGAGAGCUCUUUCUCGAUUCGGUGGGUGGUGGUGCAUGGCCGUUCUUAGUUGGUGGAGUGAUUUGUCUGGUUAAUUCCGAUAACGAACGAGACUCUGUCCUGCUAAAUAGUUGGGUCGUCCUUCGUGCGAUCCAAGUUCUUCUUAGAGGGACUGGCUGCGUCUAGCAGCACGAGAUUGAGCAAUAACAGGUCUGUGAUGCCCUUAGAUGUUCUGGGCCG